UCUGAAGAAGAAGAAGAAGAAAC
rnacentral:sRNA from 1 species